rnacentral:siRNA from 1 species
UCUAAUGCUCUUUUCAUGAUGUCC